CUUAAACCUUGAGAUCUGACCAGUCUGCACAGAUCAGAAGCAUGAAAACGCUAAGAAAACAUUUGAGAGUUUAGAGGAAAGGAAUAUCCCAUCCUGUUAAGGAAGAAUUCAAGCUGAUUUACAGAGAUAGACUGCAGAAGGGCAAGAGUGAAAGCAGAAAAUAUUGCUAGUAUAUAACUCCAGGUAUUUCUUCACAGCAGGAUGAGAAUGAACGAAUACAAGCAUUGUAGCACAAAAUUGCAAAAAACCUAACUAUUCAUCAAGAUGGGUAUGGCAAAUAAAUGAUCACCUAUCCAUAUUAUGAAACACCGUGC